AAGGCUUUAGCUUAAUUAAAGUAUCUGCUUUGCACGUAGAAGAUGUGGGUUAAUAUCCCGUAAGUCUUA
rnacentral:tRNA from 1 species